rnacentral:lncRNA from 11 species
GUCGAACUGAACACCCCUCAUAAAAUGCCUUAAAACCUGAAGUGUAAGGCUGGAGAAAAUCAACUUUUUGGCUGCAUAAUAUUCGAGGUGUGGACAUGACAGCAGCUGACAAAUAUUUCUAAAAGAGUAAAUGCUAGAGAGGAAGUGGAAAGUGUUUAGCAGAGAGCAAGGGUGGAAAUAGGUGCAGGAAAAUGGAGAAGGAAUACUGGAGACCUCCAUGGGAGGAUGGAUGAUUGGACAAGAAGACAAGAACACGUGCCAAGGCAGUCCUCCCUAGUGUCAAGGGGCCUCUCUGAAGGACAAGUCUUCUGCAAUGAACAUCCCAGCCUCUUCCUUAACACGCCUGGUCUCUAGUUAUUGUUUGGAAGCUCAUGGACUUCUCCUGCCAAGCACUGAAUGGCUGUUUUGCUUCGGAGAGUUGGCAAUAAAAUCAUUAAAGUAAAAUCCUGAAAAAAAGUUGCAUCUCAGUACUAGGAAAAGAUUCUCUAGUGGACUAUAGCCUCCAGAAUCCUCUAACCAAGCAUGAGCAAUGGUCAUGCUGACUGAAAGCCAUA